GCCCGUUGUCAUGGAGACCUGCAGCAGAAAGCCUGACUCUGGCUGAAAAUGGAAUUCAGUAUUUGAGAAAAGGAAGCUUCAGGGUGAUUUCUUGAGUAGAGGUAGACCCCCAUCCCCGGGGCUCCUGGCAUGGAUUCCUGACUCUUCAUCAGAGACUGGCAUCGGAGAGUGUGAGUUGCAGCCACACUGGCCUCUGCCUGAGCCUCCAACCACAGGACCUUUCCACCUGCUGUUCCUUCUACCUCUCCUCACCUGGGUCUUCAUGGGGCUCCAUCAUGUCUCCAUUCAGGGCUCAGAUAAGAGGUCCUCCUCAAGGAAAAUCCCACUCCCCAUUACCAUCCCCAGAGAACCUCCACACACCUCACACCACACACCCGCCUUAUUCCCAUUAUGAUGCUGAUGCUUCCUUCAUUCCCACACUUGUUUAUUGCUUCUCCCACCACUGGAAUGGAAACUCCUUGGCCUGUGGUAGAAAGAACGGAGCUAAAGUUCUGGUUUUCUGCUGGUACCAGGCUUGUCACCAGGGAGUGUGAAGGCCCAGAGAACA